CGUAGGGGCAAGCGUUAUCCGGAUUUACUGGGUGUAAAGGGAGCGUAGGUGGUAUGUUAAGUCAGAUGUGAAAGCCCGGGGCUCAACCCCGGGACUGCAUUUGAAACUGGCAUGCUUGAGUGCAGGAGAGGUAAGUGGAAUUCCUAGUGUAGCGGUGAAAUGCGUAGAUAUUAGGAGGAACACCAGUGGCGAAGGCGGCUUACUGGACUGUAACUGACACUGAGGCUCGAAAGCGUGGUAGCGAACAGGAUU
rnacentral:rRNA from 1 species